UCCCUGGUGGUCCAGUGGUUAGGACUUGGCGCUUGCUCUGCCAUGGCCCCGGGUUCAAUCCCUGGUCGGGGAA